UACGUAGGGGGCAAGCGUUGUCCGGAUUUAUUGGGCGUAAAGAGCGUGUAGGCGGUUUGGUAGGUCCGUUGUGAAAACUCGAGGCUCAACCUCGAGACGCCGGUGGAAACCAUCAGGCUAGAGUCCGGAAGAGGAGAGCGGAAUUCCUGGUGUAGCGGUGAAAUGCGCAGAUAUCAGGAAGAACACCCGUGGCUAAGGCGGCUCUCUAGUACGGUACUGACGCUGAGACGCGAAAGCGUGGGGAGCGAACAGG
rnacentral:rRNA from 1 species